rnacentral:rRNA from 1 species
GUCUUUUUGAUUAAUAAUUUAAAGUUUAAUCUGCCCCCUGAUUAAAAAUUAAAGGGCUGCAGUAUAUUGACUGUACAAAGGUAGCAUAAUCAUUAGUCUUUUAAUUGAAGACUUGUAUGAAAGAUUUGAUGAAAUAUAAACUGUCUCUAAAUUAUUAAUAAAAAUUAAUUUUUUAAUUAAAAAGUUAAAAUAAAUUAAAAAGACGAGAAGACCCUAUAGAGUUUUAUAGUAAUAUAUUUUUUAUUAUUUGUAUAUAAAAUUAAUAAUAAAAAAUGUAUUAUUAUUUUAUUGGGGUGAUAGAAAAAUUUAAUUAACUUUUUUUAAAAAUUAGACAUAAAUAAAUGAAUAUUUGAUCCAUUAAUAAUGAUUAUAAGAAAAAAUUACCUUAGGGAUAACAGCGUAAUUUUUUUUUUUAGUACAAAUAAAAAAAAAAGGUUGCGACCUCGAUGUUGGAUUAAGAUAAAAUUUAAAUGCAAAAGUUUAAAAUUUUGAUCUGUUCGAUCAUUAAAAUCUUACAU